GAUGAAGAACGUAGCGAAAUGCGAUAAGUAGUGUGAAUUGCAGAAUUCAGUGAAUCAUCGAAUCUUUGAACGCACAUUGCGCCCCUUGGUAUCCCGAGGGGCAUGCCUGUUCGAGCGUCAUUUCACCACUCAAGCCUGGCUUGGUGUUGGGCGACGUCCCCUUUGGGGACGCGCCUCGAAACGCUCGGCGGCGUGGCACCGGCUUUAAGCGUAGCAGAAUCUUUCGCUUUGGAAGUCGGGGCCCCGUCUGCCGGAAGACGUACUCGCAAGGUUGACCUCGGAUCAGGCAGGGAUACCCGCUGAACUUAAGAAUAUCAAUAAGCGGAGGA
rnacentral:misc_RNA from 1 species